rnacentral:lncRNA from 1 species
GUUCUUUUUUUUCGGAGCUGGGGACCAAACCCAGGGCCUUACACUUUGAAAAUGUCAUUUCUAAGGCUGUUCUUGGACUAUUCUGGGAGAGCUCCUUGGUCCUAGUGGUCGAAUUUACUCAUAAACGGCUCGAAAGUGCUAGGGACUGGCUCAGCAGUUGUAAGUCCAUUUGGUCACAUUGUCUUUCUCUACCUUUUCCUCCUGGGUGGUCACAGUGUGCAACCCAUGGUCACCAUAGUCCUGGAGGCAGUCCUAGCUCCAGGGGGACCAUGACUACAGAAUGCGGGUGCCCAGUUUCAUCAACACCGGGGCCUGCCACUCUAACAGAGAACUGUAACUUUAAAAAAAAAAAA